CGCAAGCCUGGGACGCCCCGCCCGGUGGUUCCGCGUUUGCUCUCGCUCGUGGUCGGCGGGUGCCCCCCCCUCGCCCCCCGCAGGGCCGCCCGCCGGCCUGUGACAAGGUGUAGCGAAGAAGGUUCAAGAGGUCGGGAGCGGUGGCCUAGCUCUGGGCACUCGCGUGUGGUUUGGGGCUGGUCUCGUCACCCGUAAAAGGGAGAUGCUUCCUGGGACGCAUCAGGGAUGCACACCGUUCCGGGUGCCGGGCACAGGGGCUCAGGCCGCAGCAGGUAAUGGAGCGCCCCUGGGCCGUGAUGGGUGAUGCGGACUCUUCGCUGCGGUCAGAAGACUGGGUGCCUGUCGGACUUAGCCUGGACAAGCCCCUGUUCCAGCGGGCCCCAGUUUCCCGUCUGUAAAGUGAAGAGGUUGAACUCCAUGAUCUCCAGCGACUCUCCAAUUAUAUGCCGGAAACCCAAGCUAGGCACACUGGAGUUUUCCAAGGAGCAGUCACAUGAGCCCUCUCUAUCUUAGACACACAGCCGGGAGACCUUGAGCCAUUCCCAGCCUGGAAAGAGGCACUGGGGCCUGGAAGAGACAGGCGAGAAACCACCUCUCCCAGGGUCACGUCACCAACAUGUCCUGGCAACGCCAGCCUGUGUAUGCCUGAGGUGUAGAUCUCAGGGAGAAAAACAGGUCCAUGGGGCACCUUCCUGAGCCAGAAGAACCAGAAGUUGUUCUAGCCACGACAAUGGUCUAGACGAUCAAGGAUGGGGGUAGGGGUGCAAGAGAAGGAGUGGGCUCACCCUGCCCACCUUCCUGGCUUUGGAAGGCAGGCCCAUCUCCUAACCCAGGCCAAGUUUCCUCAUAGGAACAGCUCUUUACCAGCCCUCCAGGAUCUACGCUACCCCACACUUGAGCCCAUUACAACAUGUCUUCUUUGUGUGAACUAAAGACUCAAGGAAGCUCAGAUGGGAGCUGGAGACAAGAGUGUGCUAUAGAACAAGCAUCUCCAGGUCUGCUCUGAUGCUCUGCCUGGCGUCCUGGCUGCACAUGUGCAUCCGAGUCCUGCUCGAAGUAUACGGGACCGCCGCUGUGCUCCUGUGCCCUACUGCGUCAGAAUCACGAAGUGUAAUGGACAUGUUGUGAUCCUGAAUGCGGAUACCAGUCCCCCCUUCAAGGGACCCCUCAGAUGAACUCCAGAGCCUCCCAAAGGACACAGGAGAAAAGAGCCUCAGGAAGCACGUGCCUUGCCACAGAUCCCUCGGCUGGUGGGAUCAGAGCUGACAUUGGAACCCCAGUGUGGACAACACCAAAGCCCCCACUGCCUCUGUGAUGUACACGGCCCCCUCUCAGGUGACAGAGAAGAUGGAAGCAGGAAAAAUAAAAGUACCAGACAGGUGUGAGAAA